UGGGGAAUAUUGCACAAUGGGGGAAAGCCCUGAUGCAGCGACGCCGCGUGAAGGAUGAAGUAUUUCGGUAUGUAAACUUCUAUCAGCAGGGAAGAAAAUGACGGUACCUGACUAAGAAGCCCCGGCUAACUACGUGCCAGCAGCCGCGGUAAUACGUAGGGGGCAAGCGUUAUCCGGAUUUACUGGGUGUAAAGGGAGCGUAGACGGCAUGGCAAGUCUGAAGUGAAAGCCCGGGGCUCAACCCUGGGACUGCUUUGGAAACUGUCAGGCUAGAGUGCUGGAGAGGUAAGUGGAAUUCCUAGUGUAGCGGUGAAAUGCUUAGAUAUCACGAAGAACUCCUAUUGCGAAGGCAGCUCACUAAACUGCAACUGACAUUGAGGCUCGAAAGCGUGGGGAGCAAACAGGAUUAGAUACCC
rnacentral:rRNA from 1 species